rnacentral:rRNA from 1 species
AGAGUUUGAUCCUGGCUCAGGAUGAACGUUGGCGGUGUGCCUAAUACAUGCAAGUCGAACGAAGUUGAUAGCGAUAUUAGCUUAGUGGCGAACGGGUGAGUAACGCGUUGGUGAUCUGCCUUGAAGUGUGGAAUAACGUUUCGAAAGGAACGCUAAUACCGCAUGUGCUCUCGAUUUUCAGAAAGUUGAGAGUAAAGGAUUUAUUCGCUUCAAGAGGAGCCUGCGUCCCAUCAGCUGGUUGGUAGGGUAACGGCCUACCAAGGCUAUGACGGGUAGGGGACCUGAGAGGGUGGCCCCCCACAAUGGAACUGAAACACGGUCCAUACACCUACGGGUGGCAGCAGUAGGGAAUAUUAGAAAUGGACGAAAGUCUGAUCUAGCAACACCGCGUGUGCGAAGAAGGCCUUCGGGUCGUAAAGCACUUUUUGGAAGGAAUAGGAAGGAAUGUACUUCCAGAAUAAGUCUCGGCUAACUACGUGCCAGCAGCCGCGGUAAUA